rnacentral:rRNA from 1 species
GACGAACGCUGGCGGCGUGCUUAACACAUGCAAGUCGAGCGAGGGGCUUCGGCUCCUAGCGGCGAACGGGUGAGUAACACGUGGGCAACCUGCCCCGAGCUCUGGAAUAACUUCGGGAAACCGAGGCUAAUGCCGGAUAUGACACUACCGGGCAUCUGGUGGUGUGGAAAGAUUUAUCGGCUCGGGAUGGGCCCGCGGCCUAUCAGCUUGUUGGUGGGGUGAUGGCCUACCAAGGCGACGACGGGUAGCCGGCCUGAGAGGGCGACCGGCCACACUGGGACUGAGACACGGCCCAGACUCCUACGGGAGGCAGCAGUGGGGAAUAUUGCGCAAUGGGCGAAAGCCUGACGCAGCGACGCCGCGUGGGGGAUGACGGCC